GUCCACGCCCUAAACGAUGCUUACUCGACGUCCGGCCCUGGAGGCCGUGCGUCCAAGCGAAAGCGCUAAGUAAGCCACCUGGGGAGUACGCCGGCAACGGUGAAACUCAAAGGAAUUGACGGGGUCCGCACAAGCGGUGGAGCAUGUGGUUUAAUUCGAUGAUACGCGAGGAACCUUACCUGGGCUAGAAUGCGAGCGCUACCCGGUGAAAGCCGGGGUCCCUUCGGGGCGCAAAGCAAGGUGCUGCAUGGCUGUCGU
rnacentral:rRNA from 1 species